GGGUAAGUUCCUAGAGGGAGAAUUAUAAAUCCUUAACAGUGACAAAGGUUAGUGGAGAAUAGAGAGAUAAAAUAGUAAGUGACAAAAAAACAAAGAAAUGGUAAGCGUGGGCUUAAAUUAUGUUUCCUGGUGCUUUCCCUCACGGAAGAUGUGUUUAAUCCUACCUCAUAUUGUGACAAAGUGACUAAUCCUACCUCAAAUUAUAACAAAGAGGAACAUGUGUUUAA
rnacentral:lncRNA from 1 species